GGGAUAGUAAACCAAUAACUAGUAAUAGGCUCUUUUUGCCGAGGGAUCGGGUUUAGGGUAGACUAAGAAAGUUUGCAUGACAAUUAGAUAAUAAAGCAAAUUUAAUAAGAAGAGUAGAUAUAAGAGGGUGGAUAAGAUGAAAUUGUAAACCCCAACAACUCCAUUCAUCCAUAUCUUUUCCUUGCCAAUUGAAUCACUUGCAUUUGCAUGCUUAUUUCCGUUCUUUGCAUUCAAUCACAAAUUUAUUUCUUUACAAGUCUUAUAAGGUCAAUUUACAUGAAAGAUAAGGCCCAAGAGUCCUUUGGGAAAACGAUACUUGGACUUACCCGUUUAUAUUACUUGAUAACGAUCUGGUACACUUGUCAGGGGCUUAAC
rnacentral:lncRNA from 1 species